AUGCAAAGCCCUAAUAUGUCCUAAUCAUCACUCUAUCUUAAUUAUUACGUAGAUUAGAAGUUUCAUCUUUCAAACUUUAUGUAAACUAUACGUAAACUCCAAUAUGCAUGAUCAUGUUUUUUGAUUAACAGCCAGAGCUUGAUCACCACUUUUAAUUGGAAUCUAGAUGCACAUGCCAUCUUCCACUGCGUAGUACACAAAUCCCUACAGUGCUGGUAGUAACAUCUGCCGAGGCUCUGGGCGUGGAGGUGGUCAACGACAAGGCUCUCUUACUAGUCAUUGUUUGUUCAGGUUCUAUGAUGGCCAUGCAUUGGAUGCUCUUAUCAAAAGUGCUUGUCACUGUAUGGUUGAUGAUUAAGCUUGAAAAUUUGUGUUUGGAAUUUAGGUUUUGGAGAAGAGAAA
rnacentral:lncRNA from 1 species